rnacentral:rRNA from 1 species
AAGACGAACCGUGCGAACGUUGUUCGGAAUCACUGGGCUUAAAGGGCGCGUAGGCGGGCUCGCAAGUCAGGGGUGAAAUCCCACGGCUCAACCGUGGAAGUGCCUUUGAUACUGCGGGUCUUGAGGGAGGUAGGGGCGUGCGGAACUUCCGGUGGAGCGGUGAAAUGCGUAGAUAUCGGAAGGAACACCGGUGGCGAAAGCGGCGCGCUGGACCUCUACUGACGCUGAGGCGCGAAAGCCAGGGGAGCAAACGGGA